ACACGCAUGACACACUGCAUAUCAAUAAGCGGAGGAAAAGAAACUAACAAGGAUUCCCUUAGUAACGGCGAGUGAAGCGGGAAGAGCUCAAAUUUGAAAUCUUCAAGGUUCUACCUUGACGAAUUGUAGUUUAUAGAAGUGUUUUCUGUUAGUGGAGUGGCAAAAGUUCUUUGGAAUAGGACAUCAUAGAGGGUGAGAAUCCCGUAUUUGGUCAUUCCUCCUAGCGUUGUGAUACACUUUCAACGAGUCGGAUUGUUUGGGAAUGCAGUCCAAAAUGGGUGGUAAAUUUCAUCUAAAGCUAAAUAUUGGCGAGAGACCGAUAGCGAACAAGUACCGUGAGGGAAAGAUGAAAAGAACUUUGAAAAGAGAGUUAAACAGUACGUGAAAUUGUCGAAAGGGAAGCGCUUGACACCAGUGUUGUUUUUCCGAUAAUCAAUUACGAAUGUUUUAUUUUUGAGGAGUUAUGACUUCAUCGGCUUGCUCCUUUCUUUAUGAAACUUUCUUAAUGCACUUUUCGGUUAACAAGUCAACAUCAAUUUCUUUUGUUGUAAAAGGGUAUGAGGAAGGUGGCUUUCUUUUCGGAGAAAGUGUUUAUAGCCUUGUGCCUCUGCAAUCGGAGAGAUUGAGGCCUGCAGCGUAGAUCCUUCGGGGUUAGAUACGUUUGUGCUAAGUUAUAGCUUUUCAUAGACAACUUGUUGACUAUGUUUAGUCUUGUAGCUUACUCGCUUAUGCUAUUUUACCUACGCUUAGGAUGUUGACUGAUAUGUAGUCGUA
rnacentral:rRNA from 1 species